GGGGACGAGCCUGCGAGGACCUGAGCGAUGGCACCAUCCUUGUGCCCCCCGUGGGGUGGGCACUCCGUAAGUGUGUUGCUCAGGGCUGACACGGGGCUGCCCAUGCUGGGUGCUUUAUAAGCCUGUACUCAUUUCCCUCGGAGGUUGGCAUUAUCCUCAGGUCACAGACACAGAAACUGACACCCUGAGGGCUGAAGGGACUGGCCCAAGGGGCAAAGGACUAGGAUGCCUGAAACCAAAGUCUGGUUGCUCUGAAACCAGCAUCUUUCCCACCUCCACCCUCUGACCAGUUCUGGUCUCUCAAUCAGAACGGGUCUCCCAUCAGACCUCCAGGCUGCCCAGUAGCAGCCUGACCUCUAAAACUCCAGACCAGGGUGUGUUCCCACCUGGGCAGGAAGGAAGGGCAGGAGGUUUCACUGUGCCCAGUGGGCCAGGCAGGAAAGGCCACCCCUUUUUCCCUCUUCCCAACACCCUGUCUUCCUGCUCACAGUGCUCUCUCCAGCUUGGCCUUUUCCAGCCCCCACCUGGCCACUGCUUUGAUGGUCCAACUGCAGGAAAUCAGAGGUCCCCCUCCCAACAACACCCCACCCCCGCCAUCCGUCCCAGUCCACAGGGGCUCAGGGUCUUCUGGAGUGAGGGGAGCCAUACUGUGCCACCUAUGGGAGGGGCUGGGGGGCCCAGCAGGGGUACACCACAUCCAAACUUCUCCUCAGCCCCGCCCUGCCCCAGAAUUAGUCCUUUUGUCUGCCUCUUGUCUUUCUGGGGUCCUGUCUUUCUCCAGCCUUUCUCUUCCUCCUCUGUCCUUUUAUCUGUCUUCUUGCCCCCUCCUGUUCCUCUUCUUUGUCGCUCGCCUUCUUUCCUGUGCUUGUCUGUCUGUCUGUCUUUCUCUCUCUCUCUCUCUCUCACACUCUCACUCUGUCUUUCUCCCUGGCACAGGCUCCUCCUUGCUUCCUUCCUGUCUCCCUGCUCAUCUUGCUGCAUCCUACAGCUCCCCCAACUGAGCCUUGAGGAUAAUGCUCCAUAGCUUCUCUUGCAGGAGCUCAGCCAGAUACAGCGGAGGGUUCUGGGCCUUCAGACGUCAGCCCCCUGCCAUGCUGAGCACUGGAACUCAGAAGCCGGCUAGGGCUCCAGUUUCUCUGUCUGCAAGUCAUACCAGCCCAGCCCAGGCCCCCACGUCAGGUUGUAAGCCUUGGACAACCUUACAACGAAGCAAGAAUCAUGGUGCCAGGCAAACCAGUUUCUCUCCCCUUGCUGCGAUGAGUAAUGGCCCAGACAGCUGGGAUGGAGAGAUAACAGAAGGCCCAGACUCCACUUCUGGCCCACAGCCCCCACGGUGAGGAUGAGCAGGCACCCGCCCCCCCAAAGGCUGAGCGCAACCUUCCAUGUUCCUGUGGGUCCUCCCAGCUGGCUUGCAAGACUGGGGCCAUCGACACCAGUCCACCGAUGGAACACCCAAGGGAGCCAGAAGGUCUGGAACUCGGUACCAUGGACAUCAGCAUUCUAGAAAGAUCUGCACCCUGGCGGCCUUGAUGGAAGUUUCUAAACAUUGAGUUAAAGAUCAGUAGGAAGUGGCUCUGCCUUGGUGACAGACAGGAAGGUGCUGGAGGCAGAGUCCUCCAGGAAAGCUUAGCGCCCUGGGCCACGGGACCAGAUAGCGACCGGAACCAGGGCUGGGCUGGCUUCUCAGGGACUUUCCAGGCAGAGCCCCCAUCCCUCCCGGGGCAACUCUCCGAGGAAAAGGGGUGUGCAACCCCCUCUUCGCAGACUGUGAAGACGACAGCGUGUGCAUGUGGACAAUGCCAGCACUCCUGAGUCAGGCCAAGCCACUGUCUACCCAACCCCCCUCAGCCCACUCCCACCCCCCCUGCCAGACUCCUGAGGGCCAAUGAGGUGGGCCUUCUCUAACCCAUCAUUGUCACCUCCUGCAGAAGAGAGCCCCGGAGCACAUAGCACUGGUCAUCCUCAUAGCUAGCAUCCGCCACAGGUGAGGGACAUCCUUGAGAGCGGGCCCAUUCAGGCCUCUGACAUACAAGACCACCUGUUUAACUGGGUCAGGGCUGGGGGAGGGAGGGGGGCGGUUCCUUCCCUUCUUCUCACAAACCCGGGCACAGACAAUGACGCUCAGAGAGGUCCAGUGUCACCCGGCAAACAGGCUGGAUGGGCACCCUGUGCCCCCUUGUGAGGGGUCAGGUGGCUUUGACAGCACACGGACAGGGGACACGGCACCCAUUACACUUGUGGGUCUACACUGGAGCUGCUGCCAAAGCUCUGCCGGAGUUUCCUUGGCUGAUCCCAUUCCCCACCCCUCCCACUCUGCCUGGGACACUGGGAAAUGUGGCACUUUGGCCCUUGGUUCUGACCCCACUUGAGGAUUCUAAGUGUCCCCUCUCCUGCCUCCCCCACUGGAUGCCACCACCCAGUGUCAGUGGCCCAGCCUCCCUGUGGGGGACAAACCCCGAGGGUUUCCUCCUUCCUCCUCCCUGCGGGUCAGGAGGAAAUGGUUCUCAUUCCUGCAUGUGAGAGGCGUCCUCUCCCCACUCUGUGCACAUCUUUGGUCAGGGGGCAGAGUUGGGGUGGGCUGGGGACCCAUGGCGGGCGCCUGGCCUGCUGUGCCCCCGCGUGGCCCCUUUGUGCUCUGUGC